GACGAACGCUGGCGGCGUGCCUAAUACAUGCAAGUAGAACGCUGAAACUUGGUGCUUGCACCGAGCGGAUGAGUUGCGAACGGGUGAGUAACGCGUAGGUAACCUGCCUGGUAGCGGGGGAUAACUAUUGGAAACGAUAGCUAAUACCGCAUAAGAGUAGAUGUUGCAUGACAUUUGCUUAAAAGGUGCAAUUGCACCACUACCAGAUGGACCUGCGUUGUAUUAGCUAGUUGGUGGGGUAACGGCUCACCAAGGCGACGAUACAUAGCCGACCUGAGAGGGUGAUCGGCCACACUGGGACUGAGACACGGCCCAGACUCCUACGGGAGGCAGCAGUAGGGAAUCUUCGGCAAUGGACGGAAGUCUGACCGAGCAACGCCGCGUGAGUGAAGGAGGUUUUCGGAUCGUAAAGCUCUGUUGUAAGAGAAGAACGAGUGUGAGAGUGGAAAGUUCACACUGUGACGGUAUCUUACCAGAAAGGGACGGCUAACUACGUG
rnacentral:rRNA from 1 species